rnacentral:rRNA from 1 species
UACGUAGGGGGCAAGCGUUGUCCGGAUUUAUUGGGCGUAAAGAGCGUGUAGGCGGCUUGGUAGGUCCGCUGUGAAAACUCGAGGCUCAACCUCGAGAUGUCGGCGGAAACCACUUGGCUAGAGUCCGGAAGAGGAGAGUGGAAUUCCUGGUGUAGCGGUGAAAUGCGUAGAUAUCUGCAGGAACACCCGUGGCGAAAGCGGCGAGCUGGAUCACUACUGACGCUGAGGAACGAAAGCUAGGGGAGCAAACAGG